AUUCCUUAUGUGCAGAAUGAGUUGUUGUAUGCUGAGAUUGAAUACAUGCAAAAAAGGGGGAUGGAGUUGCAAAAUGAUAAUAUGUGCUUAAGGAACAAGAUAGCUAAAAAUGAGAGAGCCCAGCAGCAAAUGAACAUGUUACCUGCAACAACCUCGAAUGAAUAUGAAGGCAUGCCCUAAUUCGAUUCACGAAACUUUCUCCAAGUGAACUUGCUUGAUCCCAAUCACCACUACUCUCACCAGCAGCAGACUGCUCUCUAACUAGGGUGAUGAGAGGUCACGAAGAAUGACUGAGGUGCUGCUUUUACCCUAGCCUGGACAUGUAGAGUUUUAGUACAUGACGACAGAUUCUACUUCGUC